GCUGAUGGUGGUUAUUCCUUGAGGGGCUGGGCUUUCACCCACAUUUACACCAAGCCCUAAAUGAAUGAUACUUAAAAAAUGAAGGGAGACAGUGGUGCCCAGCAAAGGCUUACUCCUUCUAUCUGAAUUUACUUGGGUGUCGAUCCUCAGGAAGGCAGAUAGCAGACAAGCUACUACUUUGAGGCCUUUAAGUCUGAAGUUAUGAUCUCUGCAUUAACCCUGGAGGAACCCAUGUCUUCAGGUGUAUUUGAUUUCUGUAGCUACUUGGCUCAGGGAGAAAUAAAUCACACCUGUGCUGUAAAUCACACCAGUGAUAUAGCUGGGGCUGUAGUGUCUCUGAGCUUGUCUUGGUUGUGGCUGCUGAUCUAACAGGAAGAUUUAGCCCAUCUUCUGGAUGAGUGCUCUGUUAGACUACGUGCCCUUUGGAGAGGGGAACUGCUGGCUGCUGGGAGGAGAAAGAUGUAUGGAUCGCAGUCACUGGUGAAUGAUGUACUCUGAAAAGCCCAGCGCUACUGCUUUUCUGUUAAUGAGAAGAAAGAGGUGACAGAAGCUGGCUGGAGGAGGGAGCAGAUAAGGAUGGCCCACUUGGAAAAGCUACAAUGCCUAGGACUUACUGAAA